rnacentral:rRNA from 1 species
UGCAGUCGACGAUGAUGCCCAGCUUGCUGGGCGGAUUAGUGGCGAACGGGUGAGUAAUACGUGAGUAACCUGCCCUUGACUCUGGGAUAAGCCUGGGAAACUGGGUCUAAUACUGGAUACUACCUCUUACCGCAUGGUGGGUGGUGGAAAGGGUUUUACUGGUUUUGGAUGGGCUCACGGCCUAUCAGCUUGUUGGUGGGGUAAUGGCUCACCAAGGCGACGACGGGUAGCCGGCCUGAGAGGGUGACCGGCCACACUGGGACUGAGACACGGCCCAGACUCCUACGGGAGGCAGCAGUGGGGAAUAUUGCACAAUGGGCGGAAGCCUGAUGCAGCGACGCCGCGUGAGGGAUGACGGCCUUCGGGUUGUAAACCUCUUUCAGUAGGGAAGAAGCGAGAGUGACGGUACCUGCAGAAGAAGCGCCGGCUAACUACGUGCCAGCAGCCGCGGUAAUACGUANGGCGCAAGCGUUGUCCGGAAUUAUUGGGCGUAAAGAGCUCGUAGGCGGUUUGUCGCGUCUGCUGUGAAAGCCCGGGGCUCAACCCCGGGUCUGCAGUGGGUACGGCAGACUAGAGUGCAGUAGGGNAGACUGGAAUUCCUGGUGUAGCGGUGAAAUGCGCAGAUAUCAGGAGGAACACCGAUGGCGAAGGCAGGUCUCUGGGCUGUUACUGACGCUGAGGAGCGAAAGCAUGGGGAGCGAACAGGAUUAGAUACCCUGGUAGUCCAUGCCGUAAACGUUGGGCACUAGGUGUGGGGGACAUUCCACGUUUUCCGCGCCGUAGCUAACGCAUUAAGUGCCCCGCCUGGGGAGUACGGCCGCAAGGCUAAAACUCAAAGGAAUUGACGGGGGCCCGCACAAGCGGCGGAGCAUGCGGAUUAAUUCGAUGCAACGCGAAGAACCUUACCAAGGCUUGACAUUCACCGGACCGCCCCAGAGAUGGGGUUUCCCUUCGGGGCUGGUGGACAGGUGGUGCAUGGUUGUCGUCAGCUCGUGUCGUGAGAUGUUGGGUUAAGUCCCGCAACGAGCGCAACCCUCGUUCUAUGUUGCCAGCACGUGAUGGUGGGGACUCAUAGGAGACUGCCGGGGUCAACUCGGAGGAAGGUGGGGAUGACGUCAAAUCAUCAUGCCCCUUAUGUCUUGGGCUUCACGCAUGCUACAAUGGCCGGUACAAAGGGUUGCGAUACUGUGAGGUGGAGCUAAUCCCAAAAAGCCGGUCUCAGUUCGGAUUGAGGUCUGCAACUCGACCUCAUGAAGUCGGAGUCGCUAGUAAUCGCAGAUCAGCAACGCUGCGGUGAAUACGUUCCCGGGCCUUGUACACACCGCCCGUCAAGUCACGAAAGUUGGUAACACCCGAAGCCGGUGGCCUAACCCCU